rnacentral:rRNA from 1 species
CAGUAGCCGCGGUAAAACGUAGGUGGCAAGCGUUGUCCGGAAUUAUUGGGCGUAAAGGGCUCGCAGGCGGUUUCUUAAGUCUGAUGUGAAAGCCCCCGGCUCGACCGGGGAGGGUCAUUGGAAACUGGGAAACUUGAGUGCAGAAGAGGAGAGUGGAAUUCCACGUGUAGCGGUGAAAUGCGCAGAGAUGUGGAGGAACACCAGUGGCGAAGGCGACUCUCUGGUCUGUAACUGACGCUGAGGAGCGAAAGCGUGGGGAGCGAACAGGAUUAGAUACCCCUGUAGUCCCUGUCUCUUAUAC